AAGAAAUAUUUUUAACGUGGGAAGUGUCCAAAUUCCAAUUGGAGAAGAAGGUACUUAUGUUAUAGGUGAUGUUUAUUAUUUCAUUCAUUCACAGACAAAGAUACACAUUUUAAUUUAUGUAUAAAUGAAAGAAUAAAAUUAGUUGUCUUUUUCUUCUUGGUUUGGGUAUAUAACGUACAAAAGGAGUUGAUUUGUUUAAUUAAAAUACAUGACAUUGACAAACAUGACCAUAAAGACCACAUGGUGAUUAAAGGGGUAAUAAGCUGAUAAUAGACACGUCGCAUGUGCAUUCCUCAUGAGUUUAGCGUUAAGUGUGAACUACAAUAGUAUUUGUCUAUCUAAUAUGCUGAUCUUGAAUAAAAAAUUAUUCCCAAAUACCAUAACUUCCUUAGGUUUUUUUAGGGGAAAUACAGAAACUCCUUAUUCUCAAAUCGAAUUGGUCGUAGUAUUAUUGGUUAAAGUCUUGGGUAAGUCGUUGAAUAUGUACAUAUAUUACCAAGGCAACUUUUAAUUACUACUAUUUGCAAUGGUUACUCAAUCCUCAUGCCAACUCAAGUCGUUGAAUAUGUACAUAUAAUACCACAAAGUAAAUUAAGUUAAAUUAUCUUUAUAAGUUAUUUUUAUUGAAGUUGUACACGCUUAUUUUUAUUGAAUUUAGAACUAUCUUUUUUUUAAAUAUCUUUAAAAGUAUUUUUUGAAAGUGAGAUUCAAAUUUAUUAAAUAUGGUAUUAGAGUUGAAUUAAAAAUGACAAAUUUAGAAAUUGGAAUCACCAUACUCAGACAUAAAAGUGUGAAUUGGAGCCUCGGAUCGGAUUGUCAAGACUCUUGAAUUGAUGAAUUUCAAGUUUGAUGCACACAAUUAAUGUGUACCAUUGCAAUGGACUUCAGCUGUCCGAUCUUGAAUCAAUGGUAGAGAUCGUUUAAUUGCUUUUAUGAAGAUGUGACUUGAAUCGAUAAAUCUUAAAUUGAUGACUAAGAUUUAAUACCGCAUGUAAUUGUGAGCU
rnacentral:lncRNA from 1 species